AGCCUUUUUUGGCGCUUGAAGAAGAUGAUGGUCCAGAAAUGGUAGCCAUUCCUUCCAGUGUGGAAACUAAAGGUUUGGUGGUAAAUGGCCUGUUAAGGCAAGUGACCAUAUAUUCUUAUGCACAAGGAGUGAUAGAAAUAUACGCUUUGCAAGUCAUCUUUCGUGAAUGUCUUUAAGAGUUGUGAUCAGAAAUACGAUGAACAGCGAUGCCAUAUGCUAUCCCUAGGAAAGGAAGGCUUACAAGGCCCUGUAGACCAUGAGAAAAC
rnacentral:lncRNA from 1 species